rnacentral:rRNA from 1 species
GAUGAACGCUGGCGGCGUGCCUAAUACAUGCAAGUCGAGCGAACAGAUGAGGAGCUUGCUCCUCUGACGUUAGCGGCGGACGGGUGAGUAACACGUGGAUAACCUACCUAUAAGACUGGGAUAACUUCGGGAAACCGGAGAUAAUACCGGAUAAUAUAUUGAACCGCAUGGUUCAAUAGUGAAAGACGGUUUUGCUGUCACUUAUAGAUGGAUCCGCGCCGCAUUAGCUAGUUGGUAAGGUAACGGCUUACCAAGGCAACGAUGCGUAGCCGACCUGAGAGGGUGAUCAGCCACACUGGAACUGAGACACGGUCCAGACUCCUACGGGAGGCAGCAGUAGGGAAUCUUCCGCAAUGGGCGAAAGCCUGACGGAGCAACGCCGCGUGAGUGAUGAAGGUCUUCGGAUCGUAAAACUCUGUUAUUAGGGAAGAACAAAUGUGUAAGUAACUAUGCACGUCUUGACGGUACCUAAUCAGAAAGCCACGGCUAACUACGUG